GAUGAACGCUAGCGGCAGGCUUAACACAUGCAAGUCGAGGGGUAUAGUUCUUCGGAACUAGAGACCGGCGCACGGGUGCGUAACGCGUAUGCAAUCUACCUUUUGCAGAGGGAUAGCCCCAGAGAAAUUUGGAUUAAUACCUCAUAGUAUAGCAGUUUCGCAUGAAACCACUAUUAAAGUCACAACGGCAAAAGAUGAGCAUGCGUCCCAUUAGCUAGUUGGUAAGGUAACGGCUUACCAAGGCUACGAUGGGUAGGGGUCCUGAGAGGGAGAUCCCCCACACUGGUACUGAGACACGGACCAGACUCCUACGGGAGGCAGCAGUGAGGAAUAUUGGUCAAUGGGCGCAAGCCUGAACCAGCCAUGCCGCGUGCAGGAAGACGGUCCUAUGGAUUGUAAACUGCUUUUUAUACAGGAAGAAACCCUCCCACGUGUGGGAGCUUGACGGUACUGUAGGAAUAAGGAUCGGCUAAACUCCGUGCCAGCAGCCGCGGUAAAG
rnacentral:rRNA from 1 species